GACGAACGCUGGCGGCGUGCUUAACACAUGCAAGUCGAACGGGAGUAUCGAAGAAGCUUGCUUUAGAGAUACUUUAGUGGCGGACGGGUGAGUAACGCGUGAGGAGCUGUCCUAUGCAGGGGGACAACAGUUGGAAACGACUGCUAAUACCCCAUAAGCCGAGAGGUAAAAGGAUUUAUCCGGCAGAGGAGGUACUCGCGUCCUAUCAGCUAGUAGGUGAGGUAACGGCUCACCUAGGCGAAGACGGGUAGCCGGCCUGAGAGGGCGAACGGCCACACUGGAACUGAGAUACGGUCCAGACUCCUACGGGAAGCAGCAGUGGGGAAUAUUGGACAAUGGGGGCAACCCUGAUCCAGCCAUGCCGCGUGAGUGAUGAAGGCCUUAGGGUUGUAAAGCUCUUUCACCGGGGAAGAUAAUGACGGUACCCGGAGAAGAAGCCCCGGCUAACUUCGUGCCAGCCGCCGCAGUAA
rnacentral:rRNA from 1 species